GCCCAGACUCCUACGGGAGGCAGCAGUGGGGAAUAUUGCACAAUGGGGGAAACCCUGAUGCAGCGACGCCGCGUGAGUGAAGUAGUAAUUCGUUAUGUAAAGCUCUAUCAGCAGGGAAGAAAAUGACGGUACCUGAGUAAGAAGCCCCGGCUAACUACGUGCCAGCAGCCGCGGUAAUACGUAGGGGGCAAGCGUUAUCCGGAUUUACUGGGUGUAAAGGGGGCGUAGACGGCAGUGCAAGUCUGGAGUGAAAGGCGGGGGCUCAACCCCCGGACUGCUCUGGAAACUGUACGGCUGGAGUGCAGGAGAGGUAAGUGGAAUUCCUAGUGUAGCGGUGAAAUGCGUAGAUAUCAGGAGGAACACCGGCGGCGAAGGCGGCCUGCUGGACCGUGACUGACGUUGAGGCUCGAAAGCGUGGGGAGCAAACAGGAUUAGAUACCCGCGUAUG
rnacentral:rRNA from 1 species